GGCGUUAUAGCUCAGCGGUGGAGUGUGUGCUUAGAAUGCACAAGGCCCUGGGUUCAACCCCAAUGCCUCCA
rnacentral:tRNA from 1 species